UACAGAGGGUGCAAACGUUGCUCGGAAUUAUUGGGCGUAAAGAGCUCGUAGGCGGUGUGUCACGUCGUUCGUGAAAACCUGCAGCUUAACUGUGGGCGUGCGGUCGAUACGGGCAUCACUGGAGUUCGGCAGGGGAGACUGGAAUUCCUGGUGUAGCAGUGAAAUGCGCAGAUAUCAGGAGGAACACCGGUGGCGAAGGCGGGUCUCUGGGCCGAUACUGACGCUGAGGAGCGAAAGCGUGGGGAGCGAACAGG
rnacentral:rRNA from 1 species